rnacentral:lncRNA from 1 species
AAAGCAGGCUGCCCGAGCCAGCAUUGGCAACCCGCUCGCGUCCCCUUCCAGACUGUGGAAGCUUUGUUUUUUCGCUUUUUGCAGUAAAUCUUGCUACUGCUCGCUCUUUGGGUCCAGGCUGCUCUUAUGAGCUGUAACACUCACGGCGAAGAUCUGCAGCUUCACACCUGAGCCCAGCGAGACUACGAGCCCACCCGGAGGAACGAGGAGCUCCAGACGCGCUGCCUUAAGAGCUGUAACACUCACCGCGAAGGUCUGCAGCUUCACUCCUGAGCCAGCGAGACCACGAACCCACCAGAAGGAAGAAACUCCGAACACAUUUGAACAUCAGAAGGGAUAAACUCCAGACGUGCCACCUUAGGAGCUGUAAACCUCACCGUGAGGGUGCGCGGCCUCAUUCUUGAAAUUGAGUUGACUUCAAGAAUCGGUCUUCGAGCUUCUUUCCUCAGCUUGGUUGAUUCUGCUGUUAAUACUUGUGA